rnacentral:tRNA from 1 species
GGGCGGUUAGCUCAGCGGCAGAGCGCCUGCCUUACAAGCAGGGGGUCACUGGUUCGAGUCCGGUACCGCCCACCA